rnacentral:rRNA from 1 species
GAUGAACGCUGGCGGCGUGCCUAACACAUGCAAGUCGAACGGUGAAGCGCCUUCCUUUUUGGUGGGCGUGGAUGAGUGGCGAACGGGUGAGUAACACGAUAGUAACCUGCUCUCUCCUUCUGGAUAACCGCAUGAAAGUGUGGCUAAUACGGGAUAUUCUGGGCCUGUCGCAUGAUGGGUCUGGGAAAGAUUUUGUUUCGGUGGGGGAUGGGCUCGCGGCGUAUCAGCUUGUUGGUGGGGUCAUGGCAUACCAAGGCGGCGAUGAGGAGCCGGCCUGAGAGGAUGGUGGACGAUCACAGUGGUGCUGCGACGCGGCGACGACUACGGGAGGCGGCAGCAGGGGAUAUUAGUGCACGGGGGGAAGAAGGCUGCUGCAGCGACGCGGCGGGGAGGAUGGAGGCCGGGUUGUAGAGAACCUCUGUCGCGAGAGAAGAGGGGCUGCCUCGUAUGUGGGUGGGUUGACGGUAGCUGAAUAAGAAGCGCCGGCUAACUACGUG